AUGAACGCUGGCUGCGUGGAUAAGGCAUGCAAGUCGAAAGGGUUUAGACCCUUGGCGAACGAGGUAGUAACACGUAUGUACGCACCCAGAAGUCGGGGAUAACCCGCCGAAAGGCGGAAUAAUACUCGAUGGUCUCGCGAGAGUAAAGAUUUAUCGCUUCUGGAGCGGCCUGCGGCCUAUCAGCUAGUUGGUAAGGUAAUGGCUUACCAAGGCAAUGACGGGUAGGGGAGGUGAGAGCCUGGCCCCCACCGAUGGGACUGAGACACGGCCCAUACACCUACGGGUGGCUGCAGUCGAGAAUCUUCCGCAAUGGGCGAAAGCCUGACGGAGCGACGCCGCGUGGUGGAUGAAGUCCUUCGGGACGUAAACACCUUUUAUGAGGGAAGAAGUUUAUUGACGGUACCUCAGGAAUAAGGGGUUGCUAAACUCGU
rnacentral:rRNA from 1 species